GAUGAACGUUGGCGGCGUGCCUAAUACAUGCAAGUCGAACGAAGACUGUAGUAAUACUGUCUUAGUGGCGAACGGGUGAGUAAUACAUCGGAACGUGCCCGAUCGUGGGGGAUAACGGAGCGAAAGCUUUGCUAAUACCGCAUACGAUCUACGGAUGAAAGCAGGGGACCGCAAGGCCUUGCGCGGACGGAGCGGCCGAUGGCAGAUUAGGUAGUUGGUGGGAUAAAAGCUUACCAAGCCGACGAUCUGUAGCUGGUCUGAGAGGACGACCAGCCACACUGGGACUGAGACACGGCCCAGACUCCUACGGGAGGCAGCAGUGGGGAAUUUUGGACAAUGGGCGCAAGCCUGAUCCAGCCAUGCCGCGUGCAGGAUGAAGGCCUUCGGGUUGUAAACUGCUUUGUACGGAACGAAAGACUCUUUCUAAUAAAGAGGGUCCAUGACGGUACCGUAAGAAUAAGCACCGGCUAACUACGUGCCAGCAGCCGCGGUAAGCACG
rnacentral:rRNA from 1 species